rnacentral:RNase_P_RNA from 1 species
CGGAGAGGAUUAAAUGUCUGCCUGAUCAAGGAUCAGGAGGAAAGUCCGAACACCGUAGGGCAGGAUACUUCCUAACGGGAAGCCUCAGUAAUGGGGAGCAAGCUCCACAGAAACAAACCGCCCCGGAUAACCGGGGUAAGGGUGAAAAGGUGGUGUAAGAGACCACCAGGUUCCGGUGUGAACCGGGAUGCUCGGAAAGCCUUAUCCGGUGCAAUGCCAAAUACAGGGAUGUGAACUGGCCCGGUUCGUUUCAUCCCGGGGUAGGCAGCUUGAAUCGGUCAUGUAUGAUCUCGUUGGGGAAUAGCAAUAUCCGAUUUAGAGAAAUAGACAUUAGGCUGCCUGUUAAGCAGUCAACAGAAUUCGGCUUAUCAUCCUCUUCGACAA